AAGAAUGCAGCUUGAAGGAAAACAAAAUGUACGAAAUCAUAACAAAGUCAAAUAUCAAAAACCCAAAUACCUCUUUAUACUAAUAUCAAACAGAAGAUGAUCGUCACGCAAUUAAGAAAUACCAAAGGGGAAUUUCUUCCACAAAAAAUUUAAAUGCAAACCAAAACAUAUACCUUUAUCGAAAUCAAAAAAAAAAAAAAAAUUGAAAACAUAAUGAAAAUAGGAAAAUAUUUUUUUUAAAUGCAUCAACAGGAAAAUAUUUUUUUUUUUAAAAAAAUGUACUUUUUUUAAUUUUGGGGGAAAAUAUAAUGAAAACAUAAAAAUUGAAACUUUAUUAUUGAAACAUCGGAGACACAUACUUAUCUUUGUCUCGGUAUGAUGAGGCUAUUUUUGCCUAUCAGAAAGCGCUGACUGUGUUCAAGACCACUAAAGGAGAGAACCAUCCAUCUGUUGGUUCAGUCUUUGUUCGGUUAGCUGAUUUAUACAACAGGACAGGGAAAAUAAGAGAAUCAAAAUCGUACUGUGAGAAUGCCCUUCGAAUUUAUGAAAAGCCAAUGAUUGGGAUCCCUGUAGAGGAAAUAGCAAGUGGUUUGUCAGAUAUAUCUACCAUCUACGAAUCAAUGGAUGAGCUUGAGCAAGCACUGAAAUUGCUAGAGAAGGCAUUGAAGAUAUACAAUGAUGCUCCUGGUCAGCAGAGCACAAUAGCUGGAAUCGAAGCCCAGAUGGGAGUCUUGCACUACAUUGGGAAACUAUUCGGUUGAAAAAGGAGAUGUCUUCACAUGAGGGACCUCCUGGGUAUGAUCCACCCGCGGCUACAGCCACAGCCACGGCCACAGCCACAGUCGCGGAUACGAAACCUAAGACUAAGUCUGUAAAGAGGAACGAGAGAAAGAAGGAGAAGGAGAAGCGGAUACAGGUAUGCUGCUCUUUUUUUUUCCUUGUUUUAUCUUAUCAUAUUUUUGAGCCUGGGAUACAUCUUUGAUUGGGUAAUGUCAUUGUCUGCCGAGCAUGAUUUUUGAUACCAAGCAAUGGUUGGAUGUGUUCUUAGAAGAUUUUAAUUGGAAGUUUUAGAUUCAUUUAUUUUUGAGACUGAAAUCUUAUUCUAAUCUGUCUCACCAUUAUUGACCGUUAAUAUGAAGACUUUGUGAGGAUUUUAAAUUGAAUAUUUUGAAGUUAUGUUCUUUUCAAGGGUUGCAACAAGAUGUCUUUAUGUGUGGGCAUACUUCCUCAAUGUUUAUUUAGGUCUCCUUCCAAGGAAUGGUCAAGUUGUAAAAAUAGUCAUUCAGCCAUUGAAUCUUAGAUUAGUCAUUCUUCUGAUUUUUCUUUUUUGUUUGUAUGUCCUCCGAUUACCUCUUGAUAAUUUGUUCACAUUAUUUAUAUAAUUGCAGAGGAAUCUAGGUUCAAUUUUGUACUUGAACUUUCUUACUUUCCUCGCCAACAAUGUAGCCAUACAUUAUUAAUGUAGCCAUACAUUAUUAUUAGAUUAUGAAAGUUUGACCCUUUGGUGGUUCUUUGAUUAAA